UAAGGAAUAUUGGUCAAUGGACGCAAGUCUGAACAAGCCAUGCCGCGUGAAGGAUUAAGGUCCUCUGGAUUGUAACCUUCUUUUCUUUGGGACGAAAAAGGGUCUUUCUAGACCAACUGACGGUACCAGAUGAAUAAGCACCGGCUAACUCCGUGCCAGCAGCCGCGGUAAUACGGAGGGUGCAAGCGUUAUCCGGAUUCACUGGGUUUAAAGGGUGCGUAGGCGGGUAGGUAAGUCAGUGGUGAAAUCCUGGAGCUCAACUCCAGAACUGCCAUUGAUACUAUUUAUCUUGAAUAUUGUGGAGGUAAGCGGAAUAUGUCAUGUAGCGGUGAAAUGCUUAGAUAUGACAUAGAACACCUAUUGCGAAGGCAGCUUACUAAGCAUAUAUUGACGCUGAGGCCCUAAAUCCUGGGGAUCACUCAGG
rnacentral:rRNA from 1 species